rnacentral:lncRNA from 1 species
GCAGAGCUAUUUAACUUAGAUGUUUGCAACAAGAAAACAAAGGAAAGAAGGUCCUUCCCUACCCCACCUCUUUACAUUUUGAUUAUGCAUGGUAAUUACUACAGGUGUGAAAGGGAUCAAUUAACAGAUUAACAGUUGUGAGUUCAGUGGGUCAAAUUUUUUUUAAUAUUUUUAGUUGUCGAUGGGCAUAUAUCUUUAUUUUGCUUACUGUGUUUUUUUUUUUUUUUUUUAAUGUGGUGCUGGGGAUCAAACCCAGUGCCUCAAGUGUGUGUCAAGCACUCUACCACUGAGCCACAACCCCAGCCCCAGUGGGUCCAGUUUAAAUACAGAAAUUUUCAGUCCCUGUUUUGAAGAAAUGUGAGCUAACAGAUGAGUUUGGUCACAGCUGGUCAUGGGCAAAGCGAAAGCUGUCCACCAACGAAAGAACACUUGUUAUGGGAAAAGGAGAGUCCCUCCCCCGUGAGCUUUGUUGGACCUUUUUCAAAACUCACCUUUGUUUCUUAUCGAAAGACAAGAAGACCUUUUUCCCUGACUAGAGAAUGUUUCUGAAUCAGCCCGGAAGAAAUCAUUGGUAGCACAAGAUAUAUCACUUAUUGCAGAGCAAGAGACAUAUUCAGUGUUUUCUCCAAUCAUCUGCAUAAUGCUUCCUUCAAGAUCCCAAGAUCCUACAAAGCAACCUGCAAUUGCAAAACGCGAUUAUCACUGUCACCAUAGCACUAAAGGAAGGGAGAGACCCUCAAAGUCACUAAGCCACACCCCAGGAAAGAAGAGUCCCCUAUCAAAUGACUGCAAAUAUACAUGGGGACUGAACUAGCGGAAAUAGAUGUAUUUAGUCAGUCAGUUAGUUAGUUAGUUCUUUCUUUUGAGUGCUAGGGAUCAAAUCCAGGAUCUUCCACCGGAUUAGGGUUAAUUUUAAAAGUAAUAUUGACCAUGUGUGGUGGUGUUCCGUUAUGAUCCCAGUGAGUCUGAGGCAGGAGGAUCUCAAGUUCAAGGCCAGCCUGGGCAACUUAGUGAGACUCUGUCUCAAAAUAAAAAGGACUGGGUGUGUGUUUUAGUGAUAAAUCACCCCUUGGUUCAAUCCCCAG